GAUGAACGCUGGCGGCGUGCCUAAUACAUGCAAGUCGAGCGAACGGACGAGAAGCUUGCUUCUCUGAUGUUAGCGGCGGACGGGUGAGUAACACGUGGAUAACCUACCUAUAAGACUGGGAUAACUUCGGGAAACCGUAGCUAAUACCGGAUAAUAUUUUGAACCGCAUGGUUCAAAAGUGAAAGACGGUCUUGCUGUCACUUAUAGAUGGAUCCGCGCUGCAUUAGCUAGUUGGUAAGGUAACGGCUUACCAAGGCAACGAUGCAUAGCCGACCUGAGAGGGUGAUCGGCCAGACGGGAACUGAGACACGGUCCAGACUCCUACGGGAGGCAGCAGUAGGGAAUCUUCCGCAAUGGGCGAAAGCCUGACGGAGCAACGCCGCGUGAGUGAUGAAGGUCUUCGGAUCGUAAAACUCUGUUAUUAGGGAAGAACAUAUGUGUAAGUAACUGUGCACAUCUUGACGGUACCUAAUCAGAAAGCCACGGCUAACUACGUG
rnacentral:rRNA from 1 species